CCAUGGUGGGGCAGAAGGGCUGAGGAAGCUGCUGUCCAUGGGGACCCAUGUAGAGCAGCACCCAAAAUGCAGCCUUUGUUUCUCACAUACAUUUCUCAAGUAGAGUACCCCUGUUUGGCUAACAAGAUCUCACUAUAGUUUUGUGGGAAAUGUUAAACAACUCAUCUAUUGAUUUUACUACUGUGAGUUCAGAAAAUACAUUUUUCAUGUACAGGAUUAAGAAAAUGUGUUACAACUACUUGGUGCUUUCUCUUGUAUUGCACAAUGGAGUGCUGAUCUACUUCUGCAGCUUUGACUUGGAAUAUUUCUGUAAAGUAGGACACUUCCUAAAGGGAGAUACUGAUAAGUUUGUCAUCUCUGGCCUUUUCAACAAGCAAUGAAUGGUCAAGCAACAAUACAGCUCAUAGUUUCCCAGCACUAAUCUGGAACUACAUCGUAAAUUAUAAACAAAAUCCAGACGUCAAGGAAGAAUGGAAAUAGCGCUGUAAAGAGAAGAGUAUGGAACUGGUGCUCUCAGAAUGGUCUAAGUGUACACAGAAGGUCAUACCAUAAAAUCCUGCCAAGGGGAAGAAAAUUCUUCUCCUAACUAUUUUUGGAUUUAUUGACAACAUCUAACCAAACCCACUGGGAGAGUCUUCAGAGAGUAUCCACAUCCUUGCCAUCUGUCUUCAGCAGCAUUGUGCCUCUGGGAAGCAAAGACUGGAUCUGCUUACUCUGUCCCAAACAACAACAGUAUCAGCUGAGAGGAUAAAGACAAGUUGCACACACUAAGAAGAUGUUAGCAUUUUAAUCUCACAGAUUAGUUUAGGCUCUUAAGAUCAUUUAAAAUGCAAUUGCACAGAGUACUGGCAGAACCGCUGAGGAGCAAUUGGUACAUCUGUACUUUUUUCUGUCUUAGGUUUAAGUGCCUAGCAUUGAAAUUGGUAGCUUGAAUACUUUUGAAUUCAGAAGCUAAGACAAUGUCACAGAUAAACUUUCUAUGCAAUAAAUGUCAGCUUCAUCAGUCUUCUUAGAAGUGAUAUGAUUAACUUCUGACAGCAUUUUGAGAACAUGUGCAGUUCUUUAUUUGGAUGUACGGUUGAAGCAGUGAUAAAUUCCUUUUCAAAAGCAAAUGAAGAACUAUAGGUAUGGUAGAUGCCAACUUCCUGCCUGGCAAUUGGCUUCUGAACAUUUGCGUUCUUGCCUUCCUGUGUGUUUCUUGAUUACUUCACUGAUCAGAUGCAUUUGCAGCUUCCACUUCUGCUGUCUGACCUGCACCUGUUGUAUGCAAAUACCACUGAAAUGUCUUCAGAGCAGAAAGAACAAAAAGCUGAAU
ensembl:lncRNA